GUAUUGUAUGAAAGGAGAGAAGGUUAGCACUCCCCUUGACAAGAAUGGAAGAGGCCCUCGGGCCUGAACAACACACACAUUGUUAGGCAUUGCCACCUUCUUCAUGGCAUCUAACCAUUGUUUUGU
rnacentral:ncRNA from 1 species